AUGGCCCGCAACGAUUGGAAGUUGGAACAAAACGAUGUAAAAUAAGGUCGAUUCCUUUAACAUUAAAGAUUCUUUGUUAUUUUAUUUACUGAUCUUCUCUGAGUGACCUUACUAAAUAUCUUAAGAUGUUUUUUUAGUGUUGCAAUUAUUAUCGUAAUUGUCAUGCGUCUUCCGUACGAAAAAUAACUGGGCCAGGAGGACCACUACUGACAUUCAGUGCUAGUCUUAAUAUUAUCAUCACCAUCAACAUCAUAAUCACAUUCCAUCUACUUUCUAAUACACAUGGGUUUGAGUGAUGGGCACAUUGUGUAUCAAGUGCACACAGCAGCAAACAUGUACAUUACAUAAAAUAUAGAUGGUAUUAAGAUCUACAAUUUUAUUUCAAACGUUUUUCGGUGCUAUAAAUACUUAACGAGGUGGACAGACAUAUUAUCUCGGAACAAAACACGGCUCUCCACGUAGCAGCUUCCAACGGAAAUCUUCGUGUAAUACAGAUGUUACUAUAUUUUGGUGCUGAUAUAAAUGCUAGAGAUCUGCACCCCUAUGCAUUAUGCAACGAGAAAAAAUAAUGUAGACUGCCUCAAAAUGUUACUGAAUUUUGAAGGGGAUUCGAAAACGCGUAACGAAACAAAUGAUUGCGAACUUCUCAUCAUCACAGCUGCGAAAUAUGACUCUGAAGAUGCUGCAGCCUGGUUAAUUAAAUCCGAAGAAUCAACGAACGUUAAAGACAAAGAUGGUUUGACCCCUCUUCAUUACGUAACAAUCUGUGACAGUCGAAAUGUGGCUUUGCUGCUAAUAAUCCGAGGUGCUGACGUUAAUUCUAAAGAUAGAAAUCUUCUCUCUCCACUCCAUUAUGCAGCACGUAAAAGACGUACUGUCAGCAGAUCUGCAUGCUGAGACCAAGGAAAACUUGACUGCACUUUACUUAGUAUCAAUGACAGAUGGAGUAGAUUUUCCGAAGAUAUUGGUAUAUUAUGGAGGAAAUAUCCUAGCGCCAACCGCCAAUAAGAAAGGGGAUUAUCUGAUUCAUGUUGCUUCAACCUGCGAUAGUGUGACUGUCCUGAGGUGGAUUCUUGAUCUUGGAAUGUCUGUUAAUAUUCCCAACGCAGAAGGAAUUACGCCAUUAAUAAAUGCUGCUCGUGUAGGAAAUUGUGUGUUGGCAAUAACACUGCUUGACAGAGGUGCUGAUGUCAAUGUUAAAGUAACCGGGGAAGACAACAGAACACCAAUCCACGCAGCAUGUCUUAGUGGGAGUGUCGAGAUGGUUAGACUUUUGUUAGAAAAUGGUACAGAUCCAAAUGCGUAUUCUAGUACUGACAAACGGACGCCUUUACAUUGGGCAGCUAAAGGGGG